UAAAAAAUUUGGCGGUAUUUUAGUCUAUUCAGAGGAACCUGUUCUGUAAUCGAUAAUCCACGAUGGACCUUACUUAAGUUUGUAAUCAGUUUAUAUACCGUCGUUAUUAGAAUAUUUUAUGAGAAUGUUAAUUUUCAGAAUUUUUUAAAAGAAAAUAUAUCAGAUCAAGGUGUAGCUUAUAUUUAAGUAGAAAUGGGUUACAAUAAAAUUAUUUAUACGAAUAUAAAUUUGAAAUAUUUAUUGAAGGUGGAUUUGAUAGUAAAAUUAUAAAGAUUAAUAAUUUGAUUUUAGCUCUAAAAUAUGCACACAUCGCCCGUCACUCUUACUAUUAAGGUAAGAUAAGUCGUAACAUAGUAGAUGUACUGGAAAGUGUACCUAGAAUGCAAUUUAAAGCUUAUUUAGUAAAGCAUUUCAUUUACAUUGAAAAGAUUUUUGUGCAAAUCAAUAUAAAUUGAUUAUAUUUUAUUUAUUAAUUAAUUUUUUUUUAAAUUUAAAUUAUUAAAAAUAAUUAUAAAAUGAUUUGUUUUAGUAUUUAAUAAAGAAAAAAUAAUUUUAAUUAUAGUGUAAUAGUAUUGUGAAAGAAAAUUGAAAUAAUUUGAAAAAUUAUUAUUUU
rnacentral:rRNA from 1 species